rnacentral:rRNA from 1 species
UACGUAGGGGGCAAGCGUUGUCCGGAAUUAUUGGGCGUAAAGGGCGCGUAGGCGGCUUGGCAAGUGGAAGGUGAAAUCCCUCGGCUUAACCGAGGAACUGCCCUCCAAACUGCUUUGCUUGAGGCCGGGAGAGGCGAGUGGAAUUCCCAGUGUAGCGGUGAAAUGCGUAGAUAUUGGGAGGAACACCAGUGGCGAAGGCGGCUCGCUGGACCGGUUCUGACGCUGAGGCGCGAAAGCGUGGGGAGCAAACGGG